ACACACACACACACACACACACACACACACACACACAGAAGGAUUAAGAUUGCGAAAGAUCAAAGAGCGAAGAUACAGAGCAUUUAGUAUCGAGAUCCUCUGUCUCCGAUUUAACCAGACGGAUUGAGUUGAGACACCAAACGAAAAGGAGGACCGUCAAAACUGUACGUACUCGUCGGCUGGCUGCGGGGAUUACGUAGCCAGAGCGCCGCCAUCAGGGCUACCGUUAAGAAGAGCUAAACCAACAACAGGCUGAAGAGGGACAGAAGGAGGAGGACGAGGAGGAGGAGGAGCAGGACGAAGGUCUUCCAUAAUCACGACGAGGUUCUGGAUCCUCCGGCCCGUCUGAUAAAAGGAGAGCGGAUGCUCGCUCGACGCUUCUGGGGGAGACCCUGGCGACUUGGGGAUCCAUCGGCAGAUCCACUGUGACAAACAUCCUUCCAUCUUACAGAAAGGAAAAAGCGGUCGUCCCUUCUUGCUGCGGACCGACCCGGUUUUGCUGCUGGACCCCGACGUGACGGACAUGUGGUCCUCGUCUCCCCCCGUCAGCAGGCUGUUCCUGUAGGAGAUCAGCGGCAGCCACACGUCCUCCCGACGCUCCGACAUCGACUCUGACAUGAACUUCUCCAGACGUGGUCCAGGACGAAGUUGAGCAGCUCGUUCUGCAGAGUGCUGUCGGGGUUGAAGACCAGCGGCUGGAGGCCUUCCCUGCCGCCAGAGACCAGCUGGUGACUGAAGAUCAUCAGGAGGUCACAGAGAAGCAUGAACGCCUGAGCAAGAGGCACAAACAAGAGAGAGUCACGGUUUGACGGAAAGUCUGUUCUAUAACGUAUUCACUCAGGAAAAAUGGCUUAUGAGGGAUUAUGUGUGAUCCUGAAAACAUGGAUGCUGUUGAGACAACUGGACGCGAACAACAAAAUUGCCCUCCUUAGCAACUCUCUGGCUCUUUUUUCUUCUUCGGACCUUAAUCACGCUUAAGCUGAAGAUUAUUCUUCAAAUAAAUAACUGUUUGAGCAUUG